rnacentral:rRNA from 1 species
GGUGCCUUAGUACGGCGAGUGAAGCGGCAAAAGCUCAAAUUUGAAAUCUGGUACCUUCGGUGCCCGAGUUGUAAUUUGGAGAGGGCAACUUUGGGGCCGUUCCUUGUCUAUGUUCCUUGGAACAGGACGUCAUAGAGGGUGAGAAUCCCGUGUGGCGAGGAGUGCGGUUCUUUGUAAAGUGCCUUCGAAGAGUCGAGUUGUUUGGGAAUGCAGCUCUAAGUGGGUGGUAAAUUCCAUCUAAAGCUAAAUAUUGGCGAGAGACCGAUAGCGAACAAGUACAGUGAUGGAAAGAUGAAAAGAACUUUGAAAAGAGAGUGAAAAAGUACGUGAAAUUGUUGAAAGGGAAGGGCAUUUGAUCAGACAUGGUGUUUUGUGCCCUCUGCUCCUUGUGGGUAGGGGAAUCUCGCAUUUCACUGGGCCAGCAUCAGUUUUGGUGGCAGGAUAAAUCCAUAGGAAUGUAGCUUGCCUCGGUAAGUAUUAUAGCCUGUGGGAAUACUGCCAGCUGGGACUGAGGACUGCGACGUAAGUCAAGGAUGCUGGCAUAAUGGUUAUAUGCCGCCCGUCUUGAACAACGGACCAAA